rnacentral:rRNA from 1 species
UAGGGUCAGUGACUGGGGUGAAGUCGUAACAAGGUAGCCGUAGGGGAACCUGCGGCUGGAUCACCUCCUUU